rnacentral:tRNA from 1 species
GGGGUCAUGGUUUAGUGGUAUAAUGUUCCCUUAGCAUGGGAGAGGUCGCGAGUUCGAUUCUUGCUGACUCCA